AUUGAACGCUGGCGGCAGGCCUAACACAUGCAAGUCGAGCGGAUGAAGGGAGCUUGCUCCUGGAUUCAGCGGCGGACGGGUGAGUAAUGCCUAGGAAUCUGCCUGGUAGUGGGGGAUAACGUCCGGAAACGGGCGCUAAUACCGCAUACGUCCUGAGGGAGAAAGUGGGGGAUCUUCGGACCUCACGCUAUCAGAUGAGCCUAGGUCGGAUUAGCUAGUUGGUGGGGUAAAGGCCUACCAAGGCGACGAUCCGUAACUGGUCUGAGAGGAUGAUCAGUCACACUGGAACUGAGACACGGUCCAGACUCCUACGGGAGGCAGCAGUGGGGAAUAUUGGACAAUGGGCGAAAGCCUGACGCAGCCACGCCGCGUGUGUGAAGAAGGUCUUCGGAUCGUAAAGCACUGUAAGUAGGGAGGAAGGGCAGUAAGUGAAUACCUGGCUGUUUUGACGUUACCAAAAGAGAAAGCACCGGCUAACUACGUG
rnacentral:rRNA from 1 species